AACGCUUGCAUUUGCACGUCUAGGAUGGUUGAAAUACUCUGCAGUGCGCAUGCCCCGAGUUGAGGGACGGUUGUGCACACGCGCUCUCCGGGAAUGACGCGUGGGGCAGGAGGGCGUGGCAUUUUACACCCGUGGUUUCAGGACUAGGAGGCUGAAGCAGGCGUGUUAGAUGCCAGCCUGAGCUCCAUAAUUAGGCCCCAGCAGCACCAGCUACAAGAUGCCUGACAAUGGUAUAGGAACUGUGGCUCUAACAAGAUUCAGUCUUCGCUCUUCCGGAGCCUUCUUUUGGGAGGAACAUGCAAACACAGGAUUCCCGGGCAGUG